GCUACAAACAUGUCAGCAGCUGCUGUAAUACUUCGAGUGCUACACGUUUUCAUGGAGAUAUUAGGCGUGAUAGCGCCGCACAGCCGUGUUCUUCAGUCGUGAUGAUGAUAGUUCACAGCUCAUAACUGUGAGAGGUCAUUUUUAAAACUCGUGGACACUCGAGUAGUAGUAAGAGAAGAAGGCGGUAAUUUUCCCGUGGUAGUCGCUGAAGAUAUGUAGUAGAUGAUCGGAGGAGGAAUCCACGUGGUCGAAGGGUGGCUUUUUGGUGUACUAAACGACAUCGACGGAUGAGGUGAAAACGUAGGGAGGCAACACACGGUUAUUAUAUCCUCCGUGGACCACUCCGCUAAAAGAAGAGUCGAAAGUGGUAGAGGGUCUCUUGCGGUUUAGUGCUGCAAGUUACCCCUUUAACUCUCCCCCCGGGGGAUACCGUCGCCAGGCUGAAACUUAAAGGAAAUGACGGGGGGCCGCCCCAGCCGGGGGACAAUUUGUUUAAUUCGGAGGCACGCGAAGGACCUUUCCAGGUCCUGGACUUCUCUAGCAUCUCUAGAGAUAGAGCGUGCCCCUUCGGGAGACAGAGUACAGGUUGGUGCAUGGUUUCCGUCAGCUCGUGUCGUGAGAUGUUGGGUUAAGUCCGCCAACGAGCGCAACCCUUGCUUUUGGUUCCCAGCAUUCAGUCGGGCACUCUAAGGUGACUGCCGGUGACAAACCGGAGGAAGGUGGGGAUGACGUCAAAUCAUCAUGCCCCUUAUGACUUGGGCUACACACGUGCUACAAUGGAUGGUACAAAGGGCUGCAAGACCGCGAGGUCAAGCCAAUCCCAUAAAACCAUUCUCAGUUCGGAUUGUAGGCUGCAACUCGCCUACAUGAAGCUGGAAUCGCUUGUAAUUGCGGAUUCACAAGGCGCGGUGAAUACGUUCCCCGGCCUUGUACCCCCCCCCCCUCCCCCCCCGAGAGUUUGUAACACAAGAAGUUGGUGAGUAACC
rnacentral:rRNA from 1 species